rnacentral:rRNA from 1 species
CUUACCAAGGCGAUGAUGCAUAGCCGAGUUGAGAGACUGAUCGGCCACAUUGGGACUGAGACACGGCCCAAACUCCUACGGGAGGCAGCAGUAGGGAAUCUUCCACAAUGGACGCAAGUCUGAUGGAGCAACGCCGCGUGAGUGAAGUAAGGUUUUCGGAUCGUAAAGCUCUGUUGUUGGUGAAGAAGGAUAGAGGUAGUAACUGGCCUUUAUUUGACGGUAAUACAACCAAGAAAGUCACGGGCUAACUACGUGCCCAGCAGCCGCGGUAAAAU